UUCACAGACUUUGAUGCUCUCCACCUGCCUCUUCAUGGAUAUAUACGCUGACCUCUGCACUUCAUUUGGACUUCCUGUUUGGAUUGCAUCUUUACUCCAUGCUACCAAACGCCUUAGGAGUGACCAUGCUCGUCGUAAGAAGGUUUAUCGACUUCUGCAGAGAAAGCUGAACCUUCACAGGGUUGGUGUUAGGAAGGGGAGUCAGACUCAGCCCACCUAUGUCUUCCCAGAAGAGGUGAAGAUGUUGGUGCGCUCUGUCUUCCCAAAGGACAUCUGUGAUCACCCAAACCCCCGCCACAGUAAUGUGGUGUACAUCACUGUGGAGGAUCUCCAUGCUCUUGAAAUCUGCUGAAUUGUGUGCCAUGUUGGAUUUAUAAGGCACAAAUUAAAAUGAUUAAGUUUGUUUGUCCUGCUUUGUUGUUGAAGAUUUAGUUACUGUUACCUUUUUAAGGUUUACGAUUCUUUACUGGCACUUUAUGUAGAGUCUGACAAUACAUUACCAUUGUUACUUGCCUAAAGUCUUACUGUUCUGUUCUGAUUCAUACAUCUUGUUGAGCUCAAUAAAAUUUUGUGAAAACGUCAUUAAAUUUUUGAUUAAAAUGUGUAAGUUCAUCUCGUCAUAAAAUGCAUUCGUUGUACGGAUGUCACUGAUACACUCAACAGUGUUAUUUGGUUACAUCUGAAGUGGCCAUGUUGUAGAGGAGGGGUUCUCAGUCCUGGUCCCGGAGUGCUGGUAUCUUGCAUGCUUUAGUUGUUUCUCUGCUUCAACACACUUGAUUUCAAUCGGCAGGUGAUUCUGCAGAGCCUGAUGAGCUGCUGAACAGGUGAUUCAACCACUAAAUCAAGUGUGUUGGAGCAGAAAAACCACUAAAAUGUGGUGGAUACUGGUUCUCCAGGCCCAGAAUUGAAUAGACCUGCUGUAGACACUAAGGAAGGCUGGGAGACAUCUCAGCUGGUAAAUUAAGGAGUUAAUUGGGUGUUAAAAGCAAGUCAAAACAGCCUAGUUCCCCUUUAAAAAGCAAUCCAUUAGGUCAAGGAAAUGCACAAGUAAAAAAAAAAAACAUUUUUAUGUGAAAACAUGUUUAGAUCUGGCAGUGCUGUUGCCAGUUCAUUCUUAAAAAGAACACAUGUCAACUGUACAGUUUUUGCACUUUUGUACGUUAGUCUAAAUGAGCCUCAAAAAACAAGUAAAACAACCAGAUACUCAACCAGACCAGCAUUCACCUUCACUUCAUUAACAGUCUUAGCUAAAUCUAACUACAGUCCAUGUAGAACUAUAUGCAAACUAAGCAAACCAUUAAGGAGGCUAAAAAAAUAUGCUACUAAAAUGACUGCAGUUGUGUUCAGCCUAUGUUAACUACACCAUGUUAUACACAGGCUGCAUUCAGGUUCCAUGAAAAGCAUCAAACAGAACCAUCCUUUCAUUAAAAUUAAGUAUCAAAUGUGUAUUUUUGACUCAAGAUGUGAUGGCUCUAAGAGAUUAAUCUGUACAGUUUAUGAAACCAUAAUCUAUGUGGUGAAUGUACAAAUAAAGAAAGGUGGGAGUCACACUAGGUGCGCACAGCGUCCCCUGGUCCCCUCCUCCUCCCCCUCCCCCUUGUCUGGAACUUUACCUCACCAGUCUGAAUCAGCCACCCUGUCCGUAACAAGUCCGGACCUGUUACUAGGGGCUUCGUCCGGAUAAAUUCCGGAACAUGUUAUCCGGAUGUUUGUAUUCAGACACAAAGGUCUUACGGACAGAGUCCGGAACAUUUCCGUUUUUCAUGGCCUGUCUGAAGGGGGCUUUAGGGUGCUACACAAAAGAGAGAUGGUUUAUGUUUAUGUAUUUAGCAGACGCUUUUCUCCAGAGCGACUUACAAGUGAUAAUCGGCAUGUUGCCCUUGAGGCUGACAACAACAAUAACAAAAAAACAAUAGGGUUCCCUGCCCUUUGGGCUUGGAACCCUAACAACUUGACAUCAAUCAUGGAGAGGAGGGAACAAAGGAGUGGACGGUAGAGAGGAGGGAUGGGUGAAGGGAAGGUGCUAGUUAAGAAGAUGCUCUCUGAAGAGCAGGGUCUUCAGGAGUUUCUUGAAAAUUGAAAAGGAAGCCCCUGUUCUGGUAGUGCUUGAAAGGUCAUUCCACAUUUGUGGAACAAUGCAUGAGAAGAGUCUGGAUUGUCCUGAGCGUGGUGUAGGCACUGCUAGCCGACGAUCCUGUGAUGACCGGAGCUGCCGGGCCGAGAUGUAAGACGUAUGGUAUAAUCUAUUGAAUAAGGCGCAAAUGAAACUGGUAUCAACCGACCACAGACUAAUUCAAUUUAAUAUCUAUCACAGAACAUAACUUACACUGCAUAGUUGCACUGGCACUGUAGCUACCCUGGUGCAGACCUGUACUCGGUUAUUUUAGCACCACAUUAUUGCAGUAACUUCAUGAGCUUGGGAACAACAAUAAUUUCAUGUGAAAAUGAUGGUGUGUGAAGGAUUAUAAAUCAGCAUAACAUGAGCUACUGGGAAGUUCAGGAGAUUUUAUUUGACAUGAGAGCAGAUUAGCCGUUAGCUCAUCAGUCUUGAAUGAGAUGAAGUUGAGUCACCAAAGUAAAGUGAUCUACAGUAAAAUAUAAAUUAUUGAAAACUUUCACAAAAUGAUGAAUGUGGUAGUUUAGCCCUUGAUGAAUCCUGGGAGGACUCAGUCAGGCACGUGCAGAGGAAGGGGUGGGGGGUGGGGGUGGGGGGUGUUUGAGCACCUUCCCCUUUUGUCCGAAGUGCCCAAAGUGCCCUUUUUUUGGUCUUCUGUCAGAUAUUACCAUCCAAAACUGUCGUACUUGGAUACAGGUCAGGCACUAGGACCAUGUGGAGGCAGCCUCCUCAAGCUGAACCCUUAGACCCGCCCACAAGCUCACUGAUUAGCUCUGCCGCGUCAUGCCGACGUGUGAUUGCCUGUCCCUGCUGUCACUCUAAAUCUCUCGCCAUGGAGACGACUGAAACCGGUGUUUUGCUUGUCGGCAGGGGUCUGCUCUCUAGCUGUGAGUUUGUGUGUUGAGCUGAGUCAGCAUGUCUGAGACAAGAGGACAUGAGAGAUUCUCCGCUUGAUAACUUCUAAAUAGCUGAUCGAAAUAAAGUAAUUCAAACGUUUUUUAAAAGCACAUAAGACGAGCUUUCCAACGAGGUAUUACAUGAUGUAAUUGUACAAAAGACUCUACAAGUUAUUUAGGUUAGAAGUAGUUCAAGUGGGAAUGUUAAGUUCUGAUGUUUGUAAGUUGUGACUGCAUUUUGGGCCUUAAGGCUCACGUAGUGCUCUGGC
ensembl:lncRNA